AUUGAACGCUGGCGGCAGGCCUAACACAUGCAAGUCGAGCGAGUGGCGGACGGGUGAGUAAUGUCUGGGAAACUGCCCGCUGGAGGGGGAUAACUACUGGAAACGGUAGCUAAUACCGCAUACCAUCGGAUGUGCCCAGAGGGGAUUAGCUUGUAGGUGGGGUAACGGCUCACCUAGGCGACGGUCCCUAGCUGGUCUGAGAGGAUGACCAGCCAAACUGGAACUGAGACACGGCCCAGACUCGUACGGAGGGAAGCAGUGGGAAAAAUUGGAAAAUGGGCGCAAGCCUGAUGCAGCCAUGCCGCGUGUAUGAAGAAGGCCUUCGGGUUGUAAAGUACUUUCAGCGAGGAGGCGUUACUCGCAGAAGAAGCACCGGCUAACUCCGUGCCAGCAGCCGCGGUAAUAC
rnacentral:rRNA from 1 species